rnacentral:rRNA from 2 species
AUCCAUGACCAUCCCACCCUGAGCAUGCCUGAUCUUGUCUGAUCUCAGGAGCUAAGUAGGGUUGAGCCUGGUUAGUAUUUGGAUGGAAGAAAACUCAGUGUGUGGACU